rnacentral:rRNA from 1 species
GCCGAUCAGGCUGUUGGUGAGGUAAUGGCCCACCAAACCUAAAACCGGUACGGGCUCUGAGAGGAGAAGCCCGGAGAUGGGCACUGAGACAAGGGCCCAGGCCCUAUGGGGCGCAGCAGGCGCGAAAACUCUGCAAUAAGCGAAAGCUUGACAGGGUUAUUCUGAGUGAUUUCCGCUAAGGAAAUCUUUUGGCACCUCUAAAAAUGGUGCAGAAUAAGGGGUGGGCAAGCCUGGUGUCAGCCGCCGCGGUAAUACCAGCACCCCGAGUGGUCGGGACGAUUAUUGGGCCUAAAGCAUCCGUAGCCGGUUCUACAAGUCUUCCGUUAAAUCCACCUGCUUAACAGAUGGGCUGCGGAGGAUACUAUGGAGCUAGGAGGCGGGAGAGGCAAGCGGUACUUAGUGGGUAGGGGUAAAAUCCGUUGAUCCAUUGAAGACCACCAGUGGCGAAGGCGGCUUGCCAGAACGCACUCGACGGUGAGGGAUGAAAGCUGGGGGAGCAAACCGGAUUAGAUACCCGGGUAGUCCCAGCUGUAAACGAUGCAGACUCGGUGAUGAAUAGGCUUCGUGCCUAUUCAGUGCCGCAGGGAAGCCGUUAAGUCUGCCGCCUGGGGAGUACGGUCGCAAGACUGAAACUUAA